AUUAAAUUUCUUUUGUGUGUCUCAGAGGGGGAGCCAGAUGUCCAAAUAGAAGCCUCCAGUAAUCAUCUCCCUUCAGGAACACCAAAUCAAACAACUAUCCGCACAAAAGAGCACCUUCAUAAGAACCAAAAAUCAAGUAAAACAAAAAUGCCGUGGAAACCUGUACUUUCAGAACAGAUGCCUUUAUAAUUGUGCUGCUGGAAAGAACGUGCUGUCAUGCUCUGCAUUAUGUCUCUUUUCCAUCUGGUUUCUGUCUGG
rnacentral:lncRNA from 1 species